rnacentral:rRNA from 1 species
UACGGGGGGGGCAAGCGUUGUUCGGAAUUACUGGGCGUAAAGGGCUCGUAGGUGGCCAACUAAGUCAGACGUGAAAUCCCUCGGCUUAACCGGGGAACUGCGUCUGAUACUGGAUGGCUUGAGUUCGGGAGAGGGAUGCGGAAUUCCAGGUGUAGCGGUGAAAUGCGUAGAUAUCAGGAGGAACACCGGUGGCGAAGGCGGCUUCCUGGACACUAACUGACGCUGAGACGCGAAAGCGUGGGGAGCAAACAGG